UGUUUAAAUUUUUUGUUUAUUUACUAGGGUUUAUUUGACUGUGGUUUAAUUUUUUUGGUUACUGGUUUGGAUAUUUUGUCUGUGAUUGUUAGGGAGUUCAUUAAAAAUGUUUUUUAGUUGGAUAAGUCCAAACUAGGGUUACUGGUUUAGUUGUUGAAAAAAUUAUUUGAAUGUUAUUUAAAUUUUUUAUUAAUAUUUAUAUUUAUUUGAAUGUUGUCUAUGAGGGACAUGGUGGACCGGAGACGUCAAGAUUCGUUAACGAGAAUCUGUUUGCUAAUCUCAAGAGAUUUGCGUCUGAGGAUCAAGAUAUGUCUGCGAAUGUUAUCAAGAUAUAGCGUAACCGGUCUGACAUUCAAGAGGUGUAUUACAGUGAAGAGACACAUAAGUUUUCAGUGUCAGCAAUAGAGGAAAGUGUGAAGUUAGAAGGAAGAAUGACCUUUCCUCUUUGGACAGCACUUACAUAGUUGAUCAUGUGUUUUUCUGUGAACGGUUUUAUGAUCCCGAUAA